UACGGGGGGGGCAAGCGUUGUUCGGAAUUACUGGGCGUAAAGGGCUCGUAGGCGGCCAACUAAGUCGGAUGUGAAAUCCCCAGGCUCAACCUGGGAACUGCAUCCGAUACUGGAUGGCUUGAAUUCGGGAGAGGGAUGCAGAAUUCCAGGUGUAGCGGUGAAAUGCGUAGAGAUCGGUAGGAACACCAGUGGCGAAGGCGGUCUCCUGGAGCAUACUUGACGCUGAGGCGCGAAAGCUGGGGGAGCGAACGGG
rnacentral:rRNA from 1 species